AUUCAGCAACUGUGCGUAAAGGAUGGAAGUGGAGCUCUUUAUUGUUUUAUCCCGAAGGGUAAAACAAUAAAAGCGGGAACAAACAGCCUGACCUUGU
rnacentral:sRNA from 1 species